rnacentral:tRNA from 1 species
CCGCGUUUCGCUCAAUGGAUAGAGCGUUCGUUUUAGGAACGAGAGCCUGCGGGUUCGACUCCCGCAAUGCGACCGA